GACUACUGGGGUAUCUAAUCCUGUUUGCUCCCCACGCUUUCGCGCAUCAGCGUCAGAACCGGUCCAGGUAGCCGCCUUCGCCACCGGUGUUCCUCCCAAUAUCUACGCAUUUCACCGCUACACUGGGAAUUCCACUACCCUCUCCCGGCCUCAAGCCUUGCAGUAUCCGAGGCAGUUCCUCAGUUGAGCUGAGGGAUUUCACCCAAGACUUACAAGGCCGCCUACGCGCCCUUUACGCCCAAUAAUUCCGAAUAACGCUUGCCCCCUCUGUAUUACCGCGGCUGCUGGCACAGAGUUAGCCGGGGCUUCCUCUGGGGGUACCGUCAAGUUUGCCGACUGUUCGCCGACAUCCCUUCGUCCCCCCUAACAGGAGUUUACAAUCCGAAGACCUUCAUCCUCCACGCGGCGUUGCUGGAUCAGGGUUUCCCCCAUUGUCCAAUAUUCCCCACUGCAGCCGCCCGUAGG
rnacentral:rRNA from 1 species